UAGGGAAUCUUCGGCAAUGGACGAAAGUCUGACCGAGCAACGCCGCGUGAGUGAAGAAGGUUUUCGGAUCGUAAAACUCUGUUGUUAGAGAAGAACAAGGACGUUAGUAACUGAACGUCCCCUGACGGUAUCUAACCAGAAAGCCACGGCUAACUACGUGCCAGCAGCCGCGGUAAGACGUAGGUGGCAAGCGUUGUCCGGAUUUAUUGGGCGUAAAGCGAGCGCAGGCGGUUUCUUAAGUCUGAUGUGAAAGCCCCCGGCUCAACCGGGGAGGGUCAUUGGAAACUGGGAGACGUGAGUGCAGAAGAGGAGAGUGGAAUUCCAUGUGUAGCGGUGAAAUGCGUAGAUAUAUGGAGGAAAACCAGUGGCGAAGGCGGCUCUGUGGUCUGUAACUGACGCUGAGGCUCGAAAGCGUGGGGAGCAAACAGG
rnacentral:rRNA from 1 species